GCUAAGACUGGAUAGGAAGAAAUAAGGCAUCUUUUUUCUUUUAAAAGACCUAGUGAUAGGUAUACUUUAGGAGGGGCUUGCGCCAUAUUAGUUAGUUGGUAGGGUAAUGGCCUACCAAGACGAUGAUGUGUAGCUGGACUGAGAGGUUGAACAGCCACAUUGGGACUGAGACACGGCCCAAACUCCUACGGGAGGCAGCAGUAGGGAAUUUUCGGCAAUGGAGGAAACUCUGACCGAGCAACGCCGCGUGAACGACGAAGUACUUUGGUAUGUAAAGUUCUUUUAUCAAGGAAGAAAAGCAAGUGGUGAACCAUUUGUUUGCCGGUACUUGAUGAAUAAGCCCCGGCUAAUUAUGUGCCAGCAGCCGCGGUAAGACAUAAGGGGCAAGUGUUAUCCGGAAUUAUUGGGCGUAAAGGGUGCGUAGGCGGUCUAGUAAGUCAGUGGUGUAAUGGCAACGCUCAACGUUGUCCGGCUAUUGAAACUGCUAAACUUGAGUUAGAUAGAGGCGAGUGGAAUUCCAUGUGUAGCGGUAAAAUGCGUAAAUAUAUGGAGGAACACCAGAGGCGUAGGCGGCUCGCUGGGUCUUAACUGACGCUGAGGCACGAAAGCGUGGGGAGCAAACAGGAUUAGAUACCCUGGUAGUCCACGCCGUAAACGAUGAGUACUAAGUGUCGGGUUAAACCGGUACUGAAGUUAACACAUUAAGUACUCCGCCUGAGUAGUACGUACGCAAGUAUGAAACUUAAAGGAAUUGACGGGACUCCGCACAAGCGGUGGAUCAUGUUGUUUAAUUCGAAGAUACCCGAAAAACCUUACCAGGUCUUGACAUGUUUUUGCGAAACGGUAGUAAUAUCGUGGAGGUUAUCAGAAACACAGGUGGUGCAUGGUUGUCGUCAGCUCGUGUCGUGAGAUGUUAGGUUAAGUCCUAAAACGAGCGAAACCCUUAUCGUUAGUUGCCAGCACGUUAUGGUUGGGGACUUUAACGAGACUGCCAGUGAUAAAUUGGAGGAAGGUGAGGAUCACGUCAAAUCAGCAUGCCCCUUAUGACCUGGGCUACAAACGUGAUACAAUGGCUGUUACAAAGGGUAGCUGAAACGCAAGUUCUUGGCCAAUCCCCAAAAACAGUCUCAGUCCGGAUUGAAGUCUGCAACUCGACUUCAUGAAGUUGGAAUCGCUAGUAAUCGCGAAUCAGCAUGUCGCGGUGAAUACGUUCUCGGGGUUUGUACACACCGCCCGUCA
rnacentral:rRNA from 1 species